GUCGAACGCGUCUCCGUUGAUGAUUUCAGGUGCUUGCACCUGAAAGAUUUAACAUUGAGACGAGUGGCGAACUGGUGAGUAACACGUGGGUAACCUGCCCUUGAAGUAGGGGAUAACACUUGGAAACAGGUGCUAAUACCGUAUAACAACCAAAACCACCUGGUUUUGGUUUAAAAGACGGCUUCGGCUGUCACUUUAGGAUGGACCCGCGGCGUAUUAGCUUGUUGGUAAGGUAACGGCUUACCAAGGCGAUGAUACGUAGCCGACCUGAGAGGGUAAUCGGCCACAUUGGGACUGAGACACGGCCCAAACUCCUACGGGAGGCAGCAGUAGGGAAUCUUCCACAAUGGACGAAAGUCUGAUGGAGCAACGCCGCGUGAGUGAUGAAGGGUUUCGGCUCGUAAAACUCUGUCGUUGGAGAAGAACAGGUGUCAGAGUAACUGUUGACAUCUUGACGGUAUCCAACCAGAAAGCCACGGCUAACUACGUGCCAGCAGCCGCGGUAAUACGUAGGUGGCAAGCGUUGUCCGGAUUUAUUGGGCGUAAAGCGAGCGCAGGCGGUUUUUUAGGUCUGAUGUGAAAGCCUUCGGCUUAACCGGAGAAGUGCAUCGGAAACCGGGAGACUUGAGUGCAGAAGAGGACAGUGGAACUCCAUGUGUAGCGGUGAAAUGCGUAGAUAUAUGGAAGAACACCAGUGGCGAAGGCGGCUGUCUGGUCUGUAACUGACGCUGAGGCUCGAAAGCAUGGGUAGCGAACAGGAUUAGAUACCCUGGUAGUCCAUGCCGUANACGAUGAGUGCUAAGUGUUGGAGGGUUUCCGCCCUUCAGUGCUGCAGCUAACGCA
rnacentral:rRNA from 1 species